ACAGUGCAAUGCGGUGAUAAAUAAAAGACGGCCUAACAUCCACAUGAAAAUGAAGCACUCAGGUGUAACUUCAAGUUCAGCCCUCAAAGGUCGGCUCAACGUAACAACUGAAUCAGCUGUUGGUGGAUCAAAGUGUCAUCACAAUCCCACUCCAGUCGAGCAGGACAUCUUGACCCAGCUGAGAGUCCUUCAGCAGCAGCAGAACCAAAUCCUGCAGCUGCUGCUGAAACUCACCAACACAG